UACGUAGGGGGCAAGCGUUGUCCGGAAUCAUUGGGCGUAAAGAGCGCGUAGGCGGCCCAGUAAGUCCGCUCUGAAAGUCAGGGGCUCAACCCCUGAAAUGCGGGUGGAUACUGCUGGGCUAGAGUCCGGAAGAGGCGAGUGGAAUUCCUGGUGUAGCGGUGAAAUGCGCAGAUAUCAGGAGGAACACCGGUGGCGAAGGCGCUGCUCUGGGCCGAUACUG
rnacentral:rRNA from 1 species